rnacentral:tRNA from 1 species
GGGGGUGUAGCUCAGUGGCAGAGCACCUGCCUCACACGCAUAAGGCCCUGGGUUCCAUCCUUAGCACCACAU